rnacentral:lncRNA from 1 species
UUACCUCAUUUAUAUUUACUAUAAACAAACUUCACAUGAUUUCUAUGACAAUUUCAAGAUGAUUCCACAUCUAAUUAGCACAAUACUAUUCUUACAAUAUAUACAAAUAUUAUGGUCAGUUCUUAAAUGUUUGAAUACAAGUUGCAUUGCAGUGCUUCAACAGUCCUAGUUUAUAUAUUCUAGAUAUUAUCUACUUUUAAAAAGUGUAUCCCAACUGGUGUAAACAGAUCUUUUUGAGCCAUACUCAUUCUAGAAUAUAUCUAGAUUUAAAGCAUUAUUAUUUAUAUCUUUAAAAGCAUCAGAUGCUAGUUACAAAGUUGAGCAAAGGAAAAAUAAAACUUAAACAUUUGUCCAAAUUCAUUAAUAACAAAUUUAAAACAAAUCCCAGACCAAGUUAUUGAUUUUAAAAGUAUUCUAUAUUCUCUAAUUUCUAUACCUUCUUGUUAUCAAAAUGCAUACCGGUAUCUCUUUACCUUAACUAGUACACAAACUGGUAAAUGACAUCACAAAGGUAAAAGCAAUUUAUUAAUUAUUCCUUUUAAGGAACAGCUCAGUGAAUCUUUAUAUUUGUAAAUAAUUAUAUUUAAUAAAAAAAUAUCAGAGUUGUAACAUUAUAUAUUUAUUCGUGUUUAUUUAUUAAGGAAAAAAACAUUCUAUUGGUAUGGAAAAAGUUAACAAUUGCUGAAAAUUACAUUAAGUCAGGUCAUUCGAUGUAAAUUUUGUAAAAAUAAAAAACAGCAAAAAGUUAAAUCUAUAUUUUAUAUUUUUUUAAUUUUUUCACCCCAUUUAUUAGAACUUCUAUCUAUUGUUAUAGAAGCCAUGUUGAUAUGAUGGUAAUGGAUAAUCUCCAAACAAUAUUUGGUUGUAUAAUUUAUGACUGCAUGACAGAUUUUUGUGGAAACUAUAUAAUGGUUAAAGCUCAAAAAUUCGUUAACGGAGUUAGCUUAAAACUUAAAUAGCUAUUUCACAUAAUUUGAGGAACACAUGAAAAUGAGAUACCAAUUGCUAAUCAACAGUGUUUUAAGUGGAGUGAUGCCCAAUAACCUACAAAACACACUGUCUCGUAUGUAAAUAAUCUUAUUUGUGAUAGUUGCUAUAGCAAUAGUUGACAUUGCUGAUAAUAAUAUGUGAGAACUAAUCCCUGCACUUGCUAAAAGUCAAAUGCAGACAACUGUAAAAUUGGUUAAUUGAAAGUCAUAAAAAACAUAUCAAAAUGGUGAUAGAUUUUUUCAAUAAAAUGUCAGAAAUUUUUUUCUAAUACCUCAAAUAUAAGAAAAAUAAGCAUGGUGUUUUUAUAUAUUUCGUGUAUUUACAUUUAUAACUACAUUCUAAUACAAAACCAACCUAAUAAUAAUAAGAUAAAGCUUCAUUAUACCAUUUAUAGAUGUAUAAAUAUAAUAUCUGGUUAAAAUGCUAGAUGUUAAAUUCAUUUACACUUUCAUGAUGAUAUUAAAGACUAUAACGAUCUGAUUUACAUUCAUGUUUUGUCAUUAAAAAUAAAACCAAUUCAACAACAUUGUUACAUAUUAAUGAGACAGCUUAAUAUUAAAAUACAGUAUUUGUACUCAUUCAAUGCUUGAGAAUCACUAUGUAAUUGAAGGCCUAGUUCGAUUUAUUCAACUUUUUUGUCAAACUUUUUAAUAGCCAUAUUUUUCGAACAGGGUAAAAUAAUGCCUCUAGUUUAUUACAGCCCUGAAUAUUUCUAUUGAACUAGAAGUAACCAACAAAGUUUCAGUUGAAAUGAACAUUAAAUAUUCUCAUGAAUCAAACUACCAUCAUAAAUGUUUUACAGAGACUCUCAUUGAAUUUCAUAGAUUUUCUCACCAGUCUACAUUAACAUUUGUAAAAUACAAAGGGAGACAACUGUAAAUAAUAUAAAAGAGGUAGGCAUUUAACCCAAAACCAAUGGUAAUGACAGAGAGGACCUCAAAGAUUCAUUUGGUUUUACUAGUUAUUCCCCAACUAAGCCAAAUUAAUUAUCUUAGGAAAGAUAGCAAACAACAAUUUGUAUACAUCUUUAGGGUAGAGACCCAUAUAUGGAUUCAUUUGAUCUGGAAGACAGAGAAUUGACACAUAAAAACAGGUGCCCUCAUUAAAUGUUUUCAUAUCUAACUAUAAAGGACUUUUAGUUGUCUAUCGUAAAUGUUGUACUAUAUAGUUUAGGUACUUCUUUUUUAACUAAUCUUAAUUGAAAACAAUCCAUUUAACUUAAUUGAGAUUCAAAAAGGACAGUUGAGAUAAAGAAAAAAAAUGAUAAACCCAUAAGAUAUUCAUGUGCCUAUCUUAUCAGUAUGAUAAAAAUACAAAGAUUUGGUGUUAAUGAGACAAAUAUCUAUUAAAGACCAAAGAUAUAAAAAACAUAUCCCUGUAUUAUGUUCAACUAUAAGAGGAAAACAACUGAACAACAGAAACACUGAAGUGCAACAAAAACAAACGACAACACACAUAGACACGGGCUAUUAGAUAACAACUGCUAAUUAAAGACAGUAAAUGUAGUUUUCACUAACCUAAAAAUGUAAUUGUCAUCUUUUUUAUCAUGAAAAGAGUUCAUUCAUAUUAGUACAUGUUUUGGUAAGUGCAUGAGGAGCAGUGUCCUAGCUAGCCGAAAUUAAGGGACACAGGUUACAUUUGUCCUUAAUACUCCUUAUAGUCCUGUCAUAGGCAUUAUUGUUUUUUGAAUAAUAUAUAAAUAUGUUCAAUGCAAAAAAUAUCUUUGAAUUACCAAUACUAAACCAGAUGCUCCGCAGGGCGUAGCUUUAUACGACCGCAGAGGUUGAACCCUGAACGGUUGGGGCAAGUAUGGACACAACAUUCAAGCUGGAUUCAGCUCUAAAUUUGGAUUGUGAUUAAAUAGUUGACACAGCAUAGGUUUCUGACACAGAAUGAAUGUGUUCUAAUGAACUUAAAAUUUUUGUUUUCUCUUAGAG